rnacentral:rRNA from 1 species
GGGUUUAAAGGGGUGUACGACUAGGCGGGUUCUGUAAGUCAGACUAGUGAAAUCCCCGGGCUUAACCUGGGAACUGCGUUUGAAACUGCAGAGCUAGAGUGCGGCAGAGGGAGGUGGAAUUCCAUGUGUAGCAGUGAAAUGCGUAGAGAUAUGGAAGAACAUCGAUGGCGAAGGCAACCUCCUGGGCUAGCACUGACGCUCAUGCACGAAAGCGUGGGGAGCAAACAGGAUUAGAUACCCUGGUAGUCCACGCCCUAAACUAUGUCAACUAGUUGUCGGGUCUUAAUAGACUUGGUAACGUAGCUAACGCGUGAAGUUGACCGCCUGGGGGAGUACGGUCGCAAGAUUAAAAACUU